rnacentral:lncRNA from 1 species
GGAAAAUAUUUCCUUGUUGCAAAAAAAAAAAAAUACUUGCUAUGCUUAAAUAUGUAUGCAUAUAUAUGUAUACAUAUAUGUAUAUAUAUGUAUAAAUAUACAUCUUUCUUCUAAUUUGUUUUCACAUUAAGUUCUCUUUCUCUACGUACAUAUAUUAAUUAUUUUCUACAGAGAAGAUAAUAAGGAAGGAACGGGAACAGGCGCAUAAACCUGAUGUGCUGUGCUGAUGGGAAGUGAUCAAAGUUUACAGAAUAAAUAACAGACUUGGGGAAACAUACAGAUCAUAAGGAUGGAAUUGGAAACAAUACAAUUUCUUUACUGUCUUCCCAGAACCUCAGAAUGAAUUGUUGAUUUAAAACGAUUUUUUAAAAGAAUUUUAACUUCUUACAAUUUAUGCUCAUUUUGUUCUAUCUAAUCUAUAAUUUUUUUUUUUAAAUCAGUGGUUUUUUUCUUAGUGAGUUUAGUUUGAUGUUUCAAAAUACAAGUCAAAUAUUAUCAAUAAUAAUAACCCUUUUUGUAAAAAUAAACAUUUUGAAGAUGAAUAGAAAAAUAAAUGUGAAUUUGUUAAAAUGUAAAACUUCCAUAGGUACAAAGUAUGCAAUAGUUGACGAAACAAAAUGUUUUCACAUGCUGAAUUUUUAAAGGAAUUAUCAUAAGAUUUCCAUUGAUUCAAAUACUUUGAUCCUGGGAAAUUAGCAUUUUCGUUUGUUUUCUGGUAAAAAAAUAAACUCUAUUUAUCGUAACAUUUCCAUAUACUGUAUAAUUACAACACAGGGAAGGUGAAACAGAAGAAAGAGAGAGAAAGAAUGAGAGUGCGUGAGGGAGGGAGAGAGAGAGAGAAAGAGAGAGAGAGAGAGAGAGAGAGAGAGAGAGAGAGAGAGAGAGAGAGAAAAGAACAAUAAUAAAUAAAGUACACAAAUUUUUUAUCUUCCAUAUUGAGCAUUGGAUUUUUAACCAGUCAUUUCUAUAAUAUAUACCUAUGAGUCUACUGUACAAAAUCACUUUUUUUUUCUUUUAUAUGUUAUACAAUAUAUGUGUAUAAUUAAUAAUUACACCACAAAAGCAGUAUUUAUUUUUUCCAAGUUAGCAGUUUCAUUCUUCAUGCUAGAAAUCUAGCACCUAUACAUUUUUUAAUAAUAUAUUCCAUUUGAAAGCCCUAAAAGUAAUUUUAUUUUAUGUUUAAAACAAAUUCUUCGUCCCAACUUUAAAACUGCUAAUUCAUACAUUAACAUCACAUGAAUUUUUUUAAAAAUAUUAAAUUUAUAAUAUUUAAUUUUUUAUUUGUCUUAAAACAUUCUGAGAAAAUUGAGAGGUAAUUUAUUCAGCAUAAGCGGAAGAUAAUUGGAACAACCUUGAUGUUAAAAAGACAUACAAUUAAAAACAUACACAAAAUAGCUUAAAAAUGGGUUUAGGAAAACUAUCAAAUAUUUUAAUCUUUUUUUUUGUUUUUUUGCAGUGGUAACGUACAAAACUUCAGACAAAAUUUGAGUCACUCCACACUGUUGUGAAAUGUUUAGAAAUAAUGUUGAUGACUAUUUUUGAAUGCCUGGCAGUCAAGUGUAAAAAUAAAACAAUGAAAACUUAUCGAACUGCUUAAUCACUAAAACAAUGCAUGGUACACGAGGCUACUCAGAAAGUAAUUUCUGUAGGAGGGAGGAUUUUUGGUCAUUGGGUCUAUUGACUUCUUCAAGCCCGCUCUACAAAAAAAGAAAAAAAAGAGAAGAUAAAUAAGAAAUUCAAAGAUAUAAUUAUAUGUAUUUUAAAGAAUAGUUGUACCCUUGAAGCCAGCGAAGCAGAUUGAGGACUAGCUCCUCCCAUAUCUGACAUGCCACUCCACAUUUUAGGACUUUCAGAAACACCAACUGUAAACAAAAACAAAAAAGUUAAAAAUAUUUUUCAUCGUUUGUUUUGCCCACGGUAUAUCCUACUGCUUCUUUAGGUUAGAGUUUUACCUAAUCAUUUUUGGUAAGGUAUGGGCUAUAAUGAAAAGGACGAAACAGUAAUUAGACUAAACUACAUGAAGGAAGGAGUCACGAUAGAGAUGAUGAUAGCCUCAACAUGCCUUAUAACUUAUUGGGCCUCCACCAUUCUCCUGAGCACUGCAGCUUUACAGCUUAUUGUACUCCUUCAUGUCUCCAUUUUUGGGCAGCUCGCAACACGCGAGUGAACUGAGCCCUCUGUGUGCUGAUGUUCUUCCACCAAAACAACACAUUUUUUUCAGAGUCGGGGGAUCCAGGACUAUAAAAUCGAGGGUUGCUUAAAUCCGGUCCCACCCCUGAACCUUCCAUUGAUAAAUGCCGUGUCAACUUUCAUUGCAGCCACCCCCCUAUGCAUCAGACUUAACUUGGUCCUGACUUUUUGUUUCUCGCCCAUUAAAAUUACAUUAAUAAAUUUUAGGUUUUGUAAUUGUAGUUUGUAAGGUAAUAAAAAGCAAAACCCUUAAUCUGA